UAGUAUAUUAAACAAAUCCCAGCACCACACCAAAAGGAGGCAGCAAAUCAGAGCUAAACAUAUCCAUCUGCUAAUUUCCACAUGGUAAGAGAGCAACACAAAACAGGUUUAUAAUAUUUGGAUGUUUUAUUUUCUUUAAAUCAAGCAGGUUACAUUUCAUUUGUUUUUUUUUUACACAAUCUGAUAUUUAGAGGCAUUUGCAAAUAUGCUCAUAAAUUACAUGAUUUGUAAUCCCAAAGAAGGUGGUUAAUGAUCAAUAUUGGGAUCAACAGUGAUCACCCUACUAAUGUAGGCAUUACGUAUACAGGCCGAAAAAGAAAAGUUCCCAUUAAGGUCUCAUGUGAAACACCACAGGUCUGAAAUACUCAGGAACACAUGAAAAUGGCACAAAAAUGAAUUUCACUCUCCAACCUUUUGCUAAAGAGACGUUGACAGGCCCACAGAGAGCCUGGACGCUCACGGGACAACAUUCACACACAUUCUGCUUCAUGAAGAGGUCAGAUUAUCGUCAGACCAUAGACAUUACAUGUAAGGACACUGAACAUUUGGCCGGAUUACACAUAGAAAUGCAAUCCAAAAUGGGUAAAGAUAAAGCAUGUUUAUUGAUGCGGCAAACAAAGGUUCAAAUAUCCUCCAAAGCACUUCAAGCCCUCAAAGAAUGAAACUCAAAACACAGAUAAGGUAAAAGAAGAAACUUCUAAAUUAAAGUGGAGCGACCCAGGGACAAGUCUGGUUUGGGUUAAAGAUUAUGGAUGGUUAACUUUGUGUAACGUGUUUGGAAAAGCAAGUUUAGGUUUUAGGCAAGCGACUUCAGGUAUUAGGCAAGCGAGUACAGGCAAGCGAGUUUAGGUUUUAUGCAAGCGAGUUUAGGCAAGCGAGUCAAGCUAAGCGAGUUGAGGUUUUAUGCAAGCGAGUUCAGGUAUUAGGCAAGCGAGUUUAGGCAAGCGAGUUUAGGCAAGCGAGUUUAGGCAAGCGAGUUUAGGCAAGCGAGUUUAGGCAAGCGAGUUUAGGCAAGCGAGUUUAGGCAAGCGAGUUUAGGCAAGCGAGUUUAGGCAAGCGAGUUUAGGCAAGCGAGUUCAGGUAUUAGGCAAGCAAGUUCAGGUAUUAGGCAAGCGACGCGAGUUUAGCCAAGCAAGUUCAGGUUUUAUGCAAGCGAGUUUAGGUGUUAUGCAAGUGAGUUAAGACAAGCGAGUUUAGGCAAGCAAGUUUAGGUAAGAGAGUCAAGUUACUUUAGGCCUCACUUUAUUUGCGGUUAAAUUGCGGCAUUAGGUUUAGAAAGAAGGUUAAGAUCCAGGCUCAGGUUUGCUUCCAGCCUCGUCCCUCUAGUCGCUCCCUAUAAAGAGGGUUCCCAGCUACCGUGUUAAAAUACAACAGCUGGGAUUACAGAUAUGGAGUACAGAAAUAAAUGACAAAGAUUGAUUCAAACAUUCUUCCCCCAAAAUGUGGUGCAACAUAAAAUGGAGAAAAAAUUACUUUCUCUCCAUUGAAACCCAGUCAUAUCUUACGAUCUCACAAGGUCCCGCCGCAAGGGGCGGACUUACGAGCUCUAUAGAGUGUGCACUGUGUUGAUGUUGGGUGUGGAUUAAUGUGCUGGUGUAGCCAUCCAGGGAUCCUCAGGGUUUAUGGGAGUAGGACACACUGGUGUAGCCAUCCAGGGAUCCUCAGGGUUUAUGGGAGUAGGCCACACUGGUGUAGUUCAGUACUCGUUGGGUCUCUGCACCAUGACACCCAGCUGCUGCACAUCUG
ensembl:lncRNA